rnacentral:rRNA from 1 species
GGGUGAGUAACACGUGAGUAACCUGCCCUUGACUCUGGGAUAACUCCGGGAAACCGGGGCUAAUACCGGAUACGAGACGCGACCGCAUGGUCGGCGUCUGGAAAGUUUUUCGGUCAAGGAUGGACUCGCGGCCUAUCAGCUUGUUGGUGAGGUAAUGGCUCACCAAGGCGUCGACGGGUAGCCGGCCUGAGAGGGCGACCGGCCACACUGGGACUGAGACACGGCCCAGACUCCUACGGGAGGCAGCAGUGGGGAAUAUUGCACAAUGGGCGAAAGCCUGAUGCAGCGACGCCGCGUGAGGGAUGAAGGCCUUCGGGUUGUAAACCUCUUUCAGUAGGGAAGAAGCGAAAGUGACGGUACCUGCAGAAGAAGCGCCGGCUAACUACGUGCCAGCAGCCGCCGUAACA